rnacentral:misc_RNA from 1 species
GAUGAAGAACGUAGCGAAAUGCGAUAAGUAAUGUGAAUUGCAGAAUUCAGUGAAUCAUCGAAUCUUUGAACGCACAUUGCGCCCGCCAGUAUUCUGGCGGGCAUGCCUGUUCGAGCGUCAUUUCAACCAUCAAGCCCCCGGCUUGUGUUGGGGACCUGCGGCUGCCGCAGGCCCUGAAAACCAGUGGCGGGCUCGCUGUCACACCGAGCGUAGUAGAUUUUCAUCUCGCUCAGGGCGUGCUGCGGGUUCCGGCCGUAAAAAGCCUUAUUUACCCAAGGUUGACCCCGGAUCAGGUAGGAAGACCCGCUGAACUUAAGCAUAUCAAUAAGCGGAGGA